GAUGAACGCUGGCGGCGUGCCUAAUACAUGCAAGUAGAACGCUGAAGCUUGGUGCUUGCACCGAGCGGAUGAGUUGCGAACGGGUGAGUAACGCGUAGGUAACCUGCCUCUUAGCGGGGGAUAACUAUUGAAACGAUAGCUAAUACCGCAUAAAAGUCGAUAUCGCAUGAUAUUGAUUUGAAAGGUGCAAAUGCAUCACUAAGAGAUGGACCUGCGUUGUAUUAGCUAGUUGGUGAGGUAACGGCUCACCAAGGCGACGAUACAUAGCCGACCUGAGAGGGUGAUCGGCCACACUGGGACUGAGACACGGCCCAGACUCCUACGGGAGGCAGCAGUAGGGAAUCUUCGGCAAUGGGGGCAACCCUGACCGAGCAACGCCGCGUGAGUGAAGAAGGGUUUCGGAUCGUAAAGCUCUGUUGUAAGAGAAGAACGAGUGUGAGAGUGGAAAGUUCACACUGUGACGGUAACUUACCAGAAAGGGACGGCUAACUACGUG
rnacentral:rRNA from 1 species